GCUCGGUAAUGGGAGCUGACCUGGCAGAUCUGACAAUCUUUUUAAACAUUGUUUUAUGAGCCCAACAAUCAGGAGUGUCUGUGUGUAAGGAGGGCGAAAUCCAAUAGUAGUAAUGGCAUUAUGGGGGAUGGAAUUAGAGGACAAAUGAAGGAGGUACACGUCACUCUUCUCUAAUCAACAUCACCCACAACCAUUCAUCAGACAAACCACAUUACACCACACGUGCAAAUGUCUACUUAGUUAUUUCUAUAUCUAACAGAUGGCCUUUCUCCACACAUCAAGAGAUACAUAACAAGUUGGGGCUAACAAGUACAUUACAAUAUGUCACUGCUCGCUCUCUCACACCCACACACACCACACACCACACACACACACACACACACACACACACUGUAGAGAGCGACAGAGGGGUACAGGUGAGACGUGAGGGCAUCACACACACUGUAGAGAGCGACAGAGGGGUACAGGUGAGACGAGAGAGCAUCACACACACUGUAGAGUGCGACAGAGGGGUACAGGUGAGACGAGAGAGCAUCACACACACUGUAGAGAGCAACAGAGGGGUACAGGUGAGACGAGGGGGACAUCACACACACUGUAGAGAGCAACAGAGGGGUACAGGUGAGACGAGAGGGCAUCACACACACUGUGGUAGAGCGCAACAGAGGGGUACAGGUGAGA
ensembl:lncRNA